UCUUCUCUCUUCUUAGAAUAACAGGAACAUGGAUCAAAGUAAAUAUGGAACACUGGUAUUUUUUGGGCACUUUGUGUAUGGUGUUUACUGUUUACCUUCUUGUGGAGUUUGUUUUCUGGAAAUAAUAACAUAGUUGUGUAUUAGCUGUAUAUAAAGACUUGACUCAGUUUCACAUUUGUUUUUAUAUUGGCAUAGAUAAUUGAGGGUGUCCAGCUAUGAGAGCCUAAAGACUUUUGCUCGUAUGUGAGAAGAGAGUUUAAGGCAAUGAGCAGAACUUGCAAGGCCAAGGUCAAUUCAAUGGCUUUUAGUUGCAGUUUGUCUCUGUUUAUUUCUGUAGUUUGUAUCAAUAGCUUUGUAUUUGUUUACUCUAGUCCAUUAUGUUUAAAUAGGACUUCAAUUAGUUGCUAUAGUAAGGAGUUACUAUAUGUUUUGUCAAACUGAUAUACAAUUUAAGUAUUGCUGUGGAAGUUUGGUUCCUUCAUUUGUUGUGAAAUUCUAAAUUCUUAAAGCUGUGGUAUCCAUAUACGCUCGUAAUGACAACCACAUAUCUUUUUGCAAUUCAAUUUUUAUAUGGUUUAUACUAUGGAGUAGAUUAAUGCUUAGAUGCACUUGGCACAGAACAACAUAACUGAAAUUAGGAGUGAUGCAUUGAAGCUGAUUUUGAUGCAUAAGAGGCCAAUUCCUCGUGUUUCCACAACAAUUGGUGCUUGGCUGAACAUAUUUCAGUUCAUUUGUUGUUACAUCCAUAUGCACCAACUGCGCCCUUCUAGUAUGGUUAUAUGAUCAUGAGGGGAAAUGGAAUAUAGAGUCUGGCAUAGCUGCAAUUCUGGUUAUGGAACAUAUCCUCCUGUUGAUUAAGUUUGGUUUCUCUCGCCUUGUA